ACAACAUUUGGACCUUCGGUCUACCGAGCCAAUAUCACCAGCUCGGGGAAAGAUCUUCCCUUCCGUCGU
rnacentral:pre_miRNA from 1 species